rnacentral:rRNA from 1 species
CCCUUAGAUGUUCUGGGCCGCACGCGUGCUACACUGAUGCAUUCAACGAGUCUAAAACCUGGUCUGAUAGGGCUGGGUAAUCUUUUGAAAGUGCAUCGUGAUUGAGAUAGAUGAUUGCAAUUCUUCAUCUUCAACGAGGAAUGCCUAGUAAACGCAAGUCAUCAGCUUGCAUUGAUUACGUCCCUGCCCUUUGUACACACCGCCCGUCGCUCCUACCGAUUGAAUGAUCCGAUGAAUACCAUGGAUUGAGAGUACGAAUAGGUUCGCUUAUUUCUGCUGCUCGAGAAGUGGAGUAAAUCUUAUCAUUUAGAGGAAGGAGAAGUCGUAACA